rnacentral:tRNA from 1 species
GAGGUUUAUUCGUUUGUUUAGGUCCUGCUAAGUCCCAAAACCUGUAGUUCAAUUCUAUAGAAACCUCG